GUGGGGACCUCUUGGAUCCAAAGGGAGAAGGGGAAGGCAGCGGGAUGGGGCCACCUCCUGUCCCUGCAUCCAUGGAAACACCGGGAAUCCGGGGCCCCCCGGGAUCCCGGAGAUGGGAUAAGGGCACAUCCAGAGCCUCGGGAUCAGGAGGAUCCAUGGCCGGAACCUGGGAACGUCCCUGUGCCCAUCCCGGUUAUCCCAAACUUCCCGCUUCCCUCAGCAUCCAGAGGCAUCGGGGCCACGUUUGGGAUGGGAUGCGGAAAACCAGGAUAAGAAAACCACGGAUUCCCCUUCCCAACAUCAUCUCCCCUGGGAAGGGAAAACAUAAAGAAUUAACAGGGAAUUUUUAAGGAUGAAACCCUUAAUUACCAAAAAUUCCUUCGGAUCCCAAGGCAGCCCCAGUUUUCCUCUCAUUUUUCCCCCAUUCAUGCCUCAGUCUCCCCUGUUUUCCCCCUGUUUCCGCCCCCUUUCCCACCGGGAUAACGACCUUUCCUCCCACUCCCGGCGGUUCACAGGAGUCGGGAUGAGCCCUGGGAUGAGCUUCCCCCACGGCAGGAAUUUUAAGUCGCUCCGAUGGAUUGUAAAUAUUUGGGAUACGGCUGACGGGGAAGAUUUAAACGCUUUAAGAGGGGAAAAAUUGGCUCAAGAUUCCCGAAUCCCUCGGGAUCUGCCCGGAGGCUCCUGCCCCGUCCCUGGACCUGCCAGAUUAGCCCCUCUGGAUCCCUCUGGAUCCCUCUGGAUCCUCGGGAAUGCGCUGUGUUCCCAAAUGCUGGAGGCAGCUGAGCUUUGUGCUGUUUUCCAUGGGAAAAUCCCGGCUCCGUUGUUUUCUCCGUUGGGAAUUUGGACAUGGAAAAUAGGGCGGGAUUAAAGGAUGGAUGCAAGGAUGGAGCCAUGGAUGGAUGGAUGGAAGGAAGGAGCUGGGAAUGUCCAGCUGGAGAAGGGAAGAAUCCAGGGAAUCCUUGGAGCCCCUUCCCGAGCCUAAUGGGGCUCCAGAAGAGCUGGAGAGGGAUUUGGGACAAGGGCUGGAAGGACCUUAAAUCCCAUCCCAUUCCCACCCCGACACUUCCCACUAUCCCAGGUUGCUGCAGGCCCCUUCCAGCCUGGCCUUGGUCCGGGAAUCCCUUUUCCCAAAGGAUGUGGAAUCCCUGGAUGAGCUCCAAGCCAAAUCACCUCGUCUCCCUCAUCCUGGGAAAGGUCAGGAGUGGGAUAGAGCCUUAUCCCAAAGAGAAUCCGGUGUUUCCCGAAUUUGCCGAGCGGAGUCGAUGGAGCAGCAGCGUGGGGGGAUCCCAGGGCAGCGGGAUCCUCCUUUCCCAACCCUCCUUCCCUCUCCAGACCCCGAGGGAAGAUUCCAAGGAAUUGAAUCCCGCGGGACAGAUCGGCUUUGGCAUGAGAACCAGGGAACCCUUCCCGGUGGGAAUUGGGCGCCCUUGGAUGAGGAAGAUGCAGAAAUUCCUCCCUGGAAUCAUCAGGAAUUGUCCCUCCCGAGCCUCCUCGCCGACGGAUAUUCCUGGAAUUCCACGGAUAGCGCUGUUUACAAUAAAUAUCCUCUGGAAUCUCACACACGGACAGCUCAAGGAUCAGAAAUCCGUGGAUUUUCCUCUCUGGAAAGGCGACAAAACAUCCCCAAAGUCCCUUCCCUGUUGUGUCCCCUCCAGGGGACUUUGGGUGCUGGGAGGGGAAAAUCCCAUCCUGGAAGGGUGGGAAUGGGAGAGGAGGGAAGUUUUGCUUCCCUGUGGGGGUGGGGGUGACAGAGGUGACCCCCGGGGUAUCCCGGGAAUUCUGGGACCAUCCCAGGGGUGA
rnacentral:lncRNA from 13 species